UACGUAGGGGGCAAGCGUUGUCCGGAAUCAUUGGGCGUAAAGCGCGUGUAGGCGGCUCGGUAAGUCUGCUCUGAAAGUCCAAGGCUCAACCUUGGGAUGCGGGUGGAUACUGCCGGGCUCGAGUCCGGAAGAGGCGAGUGGAAUUCCUGGUGUAGCGGUGAAAUGCGCAGAUAUCAGGAGGAACACCCAUGGCGAAGGCAGCUUCGUGGGACGGUACUGACGCUGAGACGCGAAAGCGUGGGGAGCGAACAGG
rnacentral:rRNA from 1 species